AGUGAACGCUGGCGGCGUGGCUUAGGCAUGCAAGUCGAACGCGAAAGGCGCAAGCCGAGUAGAGUGGCGAAAGGGUGAGUAAUGCAUAGACAACCUACCCUCAGGACCGGAAUAACCGCUGGAAACGGCGGCUAAUGCCGGAUGGUCUGAUCGGGCGGCAUCGCCUGUUCAGUAAAUGGUUGCUUCCGGGCUUCUGCCGGAGGAGGGGUCUAUGUCCUAUUAGCUAGUUGGUGAGGUAACGGCUCACCAAGGCGACGAUGGGUAGCCGGACUGAGAGGUUGGCCGGCCACACUGGGACUGAGACACUGCCCAGACUCCUACGGGAGGCUGCAGUCGAGAAUCUUCUGCAAUGGACGCAAGUCUGACAGGGCGACGCCGCGUGCAGGAUGAAGGCCUUCGGGUUGUAAACUGCUGUUGCACCUUACGAACCCCCGAGCGUGAAUAGCGCUUCGGGAUGACCAGGGUGUGAGGAAGCACAGGCUAACUCCGUGCCAGCAGCCGCGGUAAAAC
rnacentral:rRNA from 1 species